UACGUAGGGGGCUAGCGUUGUCCGGAAUCAUUGGGCGUAAAGCGCGUGUAGGCGGUCCGGUAAGUCCGCUGUGAAAGUCGGGGGCUCAACCCUCGAAUGCCGGUGGAUACUGUCGGGCUAGAGUGCGGAAGAGGCGAGUGGAAUUCCUGGGUGAUAGCGGUGAAAUGCGCAGAUAUCAGGAGGAACACCAAUUGCGAAGGCAGCUCGCUGGGACGUUACUGACGCUGGAGACGCGAAAGCGUGGGGAGCAAACAGG
rnacentral:rRNA from 1 species